CCGAGUUUACAACUCCCAAACCCCUGUGAACAUACCUAUCGUUGCUUCGGCGGGAUCGCCCCGGCUAGCCAUUGCGGCUCCGGAUCCAGGCGCCCGCCGGAGGACCCAAACUCUUGAAUUUAUGAAGUAUCUUCUGAGUAAACAAGCAAAUAAAUUA
rnacentral:misc_RNA from 1 species